UCACAUCAGCGGGUCCAGGCCCAACCGACAGACUAUGGGGGCUCCGGCAACCAGGCGCUGCGUGGAGUGGCUGCUGGGCCUCUACUUCCUCAGCCACAUCCCCAUCACCCUGUUCAUGGACCUGCAGGCGGUGCUGCCGCGCGAGCUCUACCCAGUCGAGUUUAGAAACCUGCUGAAGUGGUAUGCUAAGGAGUUCAAAGACCCACUGCUACAGGAGCCCCCAGCCUGGUUUAAGUCCUUUCUGUUUUGCGAGCUUGUGUUUCAGCUGCCUUUCUUUCCCAUUGCAACGUAUGCCUUCCUCAAAGGUUGGUAAAUGGUGGGAAAAUCCCAUUUUUACUCAGAAAUCAGGUCCCAGAAAUCUUUUGGGAAAGUAUCUCCAAAGGGAAGGGGAUGGUCCCCAUAGUUUGUGGGAGAAUGCUACAGGAUCUGGGGUAAAUAGCCAGGGUAGAUCUUGUAAAGGGACAUUAGUGUGGCUCAGGCUCAUGUCUGUGGU
rnacentral:lncRNA from 1 species